UGGGACCUUGAAUCUAACCAAGAGCCAUCAUGUCAUGAUGUCAAGCAUCAGUUUCUCUUUGGCGAAAUAGAUUGAGGGGUUGGCCCGCUACUUUGUUAGAACGAAUAAUCCAAGAAAGAAGAAAGUGUCUGAACCUGGAAAAUCUGAUUAGCUUGAAGAUUUGUCACGCUGGAAAGAGAAAAAGAAGCCGCAGAUGUGGAACAAUUUUUAUGGCGUGAUUUCCUAUCAAGUGAUUUUGUCGUCGUGGAAAAAGGGGCCGUAAUAUUUUGAUGCUUAUACUUCUUCGAUCUUCCACUUGGAAAUCGGCAUCGGAGGAGCCUAGUUGGUAGCCUGGGGCAGAGUUAUUUCUGUAUCGCACCUGGCUGGCGAUUGCUAUAAUGAAAACCGGACUACAAUCAGAUGAAUGAAGAAGAAAGGCAAGCAGCAUGGAGGCUUUGGAACCUAAACCAGUACCAUGUCAGAAAGAAAGAUAAAGUGGUCUAAGGGCCUCUUCACAAACUUGGUUUCCCUUUUUUUUUUCUUUUUCUCUUUAAUUGUAGCGCUUAGGCUUAGUUUAUCUAAAAUCCAUAAAAGAGAACUUUUAGACAAAGCCCAUGUUCAAUCAUUCAAUGAAUUAAGCGUUCAGUUC